AGCACGGAGUGGUGACGGCGGUGACCUCGGCCUGAAUAAAUUGCUGAUUCCAAGUAAUUCAAGGCUGCUUAUUAGACCGUCUGAUGCCACCUGUGGGACUGCCGGGUCAGAAGAGGAGACAGAGGGGUGGCAGGUGAGAACAUUAAUAUUGAGCCUCCAGGCAGAGGAAAGCAGGCUGCUCGGAGCAGGUACAAAGAGGCAGACUGUUGGUUUGGUCACGAGCCAACAUCAGCAUAUUGGAGGCAAAUCAAUGACCUUUCAUCAAUGGCUGGCUGUUUCUUCCACUGUGGCUGAGAGUUGUGUGAUUAGUGUUAAUAUAAUAUUUACUGAGCGACAGUCAUUAAAAAUGUAUGCUCUUACCUCUUCCCAUUGGUGAAUGUAGCGUAUUAAUCUGGAGAGCCUCAACAGCCUCAGAAGACUUAGGAUCUUGGUAAAGCGAACGAUCCGCAGGGCCCGAGCAGUCUUGUACACCUCUGAGUCGAUACCUUUCUCUACUAUGAGGAAUAUGUAAUCCACUGGGAUGGAGGAGAUAAAGUCCACAAUGAACCAAGUUUUUAGGUACUUCAUUUUAAUAGUUUUAGGGUCCAAAAUGAUGUCUGAGUUGUCCUCAAUGAUGAUUCCAGUGCGGAAGUUGA